UACGUAGGGGGCAAGCGUUGUCCGGAUUUAUUGGGCGUAAAGAGCUCGUAGGCGGUUUGGUAAGUCUGGUGUGAAAUCUCCACGCUCAACGUGGAGGGGCCACCCGAUACUGCCAUGACUGGAGUCCGGUAGAGGAGUGUGGAAUUCCCGGUGUAGCGGUGGAAUGCGUAGAGAUCGGGAAGAAUACCCGUGGCGAAGGCGGCCAGCUGGGCCAGGUCCGACACUGAGGCGCGAAAGCGUGGGGAGCAAACAGG
rnacentral:rRNA from 1 species